GGACGGGUGAGUAAUGUCUGGGAAACUGCCCGAUGAGGGGGAGUAACUACUGGAAACGGUAGCUAAUACCGCAUAACGUCGCAAGACCAAAGAGGGGGACCUUCGGGCCUCUUGCCAUCGGAUGUGCCCAGAUGGGAUUAGCUAGUAGGUGGGGUAACGGCUCACCUAGGCGACGAUCCCUAGCUGGUCUGAGAGGAUGACCAGCCACACUGGAACUGAGACACGGUCCAG
rnacentral:rRNA from 1 species